ACGGGUGAGGAAUGCGUCGGAAUCUGCCUAUUUGUGGGGGAUAACGUAGGGAAACUUACGCUAAUACCGCAUACGACCUACGGGUGAAAGUGGGGGACCGCAAGGCCUCACGCAGAUAGAUGAGCCGACGCCGGAUUAGCUAGUUGGCGGGGUAAAGGCCCACCAAGGCGACGAUCCGUAGCUGGUCUGAGAGGAUGAUCAGCCACACUGGAACUGAGACACGGUCCAGACUCCUACGGGAGGCAGCAGUGGGGAAUAUUGGACAAUGGGCACAAGCCUGAUCCAGCCAUGCCGCGUGUGUGAAGAAGGCCUUCGGGUUGUAAAGCACUUUUGUCCGGAAAGAAAACCUUUCGAUUAAUACUCGGGGGGAAUGACGGUACCGGAAGAAUAAGCACCGGCUAACUUCGUGCCAGCAGCCGCGGUAAUACGAAGGGUGCAAGCGUUACUCGGAAUUACUGGGCGUAAAGCGUGCGUAGGUGGUUUGUUAAGUCUGAUGUGAAAGCCCUGGGCUCAACCUGGGAACUGCAUUGGAAACUGGCUUACUAGAGUGCGGUAGAGGGUAGUGGAAUUCCCGGUGUAGC
rnacentral:rRNA from 1 species